rnacentral:rRNA from 1 species
GUAGGGUGCAAGCGUUAUCCGGAAUCAUUGGGCGUAAAGAGCUCGUAGGCGGUUCAGCAAGUCGGCUGUGAAAUCCCGAGGCUUAACCUCGGAACUGCAGUCGAUACUGCUGUGACUAGAGUCCGGUAGAGGAGAAUGGAAUUCCCGGUGUAGCGGUGAAAUGCGCAGAUAUCGGGAGGAACACCAGUAGCGAAGGCGGUUCUCUGGGCCGGUACUGACGCUGAGGAGCGAAAGCGUGGGGUAGCAAACAGGAUUAGAUACCCUGGUAGUCCACGCCGUAAACGUUGGACACUAGGUGUGGCGUUCCGACCAACGGGUGCCGUGCCGAAGCUAACGCAUUAAGUGUCCCCGCCUGGGGAGUACGGCCGCAGGGCUAA